rnacentral:rRNA from 1 species
GAUGAACGCUAGCUACAGGCUUAACACAUGCAAGUCGAGGGGCAGCAUGGUCGAAGCUUGCUUCGACUGAUGGCGACCGGCGCACGGGUGCGUAACGCGUAUCGAACCUGCCCUAUACACGGGGAUAGCCUUGCGAAAGUAAGAUUAAUACCCGAUGCCAAAUUGAGAUCGCAUGAUUUUGAUUUGAAAGAAAUUCGGUAUAGGGAUGGCGAUGCGUCUGAUUAGGUAGAUGGCGGGGUAACGGCCCACCAUGCCGACGAUCAGUAGGGGUUCUGAGAGGAAGGUCCCCCCACAUUGGAACUGAGACACGGUCCAAAACUCCUACGGGAGCAGCAG